rnacentral:rRNA from 1 species
AUACGGAGGAUGCGAGCGUUAUCCGGAUUUAUUGGGUUUAAAGGGAGCGUAGGCGGGAGCUUAAGUCAGCGGUUAAAUGGUGCGGCUCAACCGUGCCCUGCCGUUGAAACUGGGUUUCUUGAGAGUGCAAGAGGCGGAUGGAAUUUAUGGUGUAAGCGGGAAAUGCUUAGAUAUCAUGAAGAACCCCGAUUGCGAAGGCAGUCCGCUGGGGCACGUCUGACGCUGAUGCUCGAAGGUGCGGGAAUCAAACAGGAUUAGAUACCCUGGUAGUCCGCACGGUAAACGAUGAUUACCCGCUGUCGGCGGCAGACAGUCGGCGGCCAAGCGAAAGCGAUAAGUAAUCCACCUGGGGAGUACGCCGGCAACGGUGAAACUCAAAGGAAUUGACGGGG